UACGUAGGGGGCAAGCGUUGUCCGGAAUCAUUGGGCGUAAAGCGCGCGUAGGCGGCCCGGUAAGUCCGCUGUAAAAGUCAGGGGCUCAACCCUUGAACGCCGGUGGAUACUGCCGGGCUAGAGUCCGGAAGAGGCGAGUGGAAUUCCUGGUGUAGCGGUGGAAUGCGCAGAUAUCAGGAGGAACACCGAUAGCGAAGGCAGCUCGCUGGGACGGUACUGACGCUGAGGCGCGAAAGCGUGGGGAGCGAACAGG
rnacentral:rRNA from 1 species